rnacentral:rRNA from 1 species
UACGUAGGUGGCGAGCGUUGUCCGGAUUUACUGGGCGUAAAGAGCGCGCAGGCGGUCGUACAAGUCGCGUGUGAAAGCCCCCCGGCUCAACUGGGGAGGGUCACGCGAUACUGUUCGACUCGAAGGCAGGAGAGGGUAGUGGAAUUCCCGGUGUAGUGGUGAAAUGCGUAGAUAUCAUUUGGAACGCCAAUGGUGAAAACAGCUCGCUGGGGGGUUUGCUGACGCUGAGACACGAAAGCCAGGGGA